AUGGCAGCAAAGAAAGGAACUUCUCGUCUCCUUUCCUUCACAUUCCAGAAGAGGGGGUCACAUUCCAGAACUGAGUCUCAUUCCUGGGGUUCUAGAGGCAGAGCAGGUGACAGAGGGGGAGGAAAUGGCACUCAACACACAAGUAGCCAGAGGAGGAAGAAGUAUCUCUGGUGUUGGAGGAGGCACGCCAAGGCAGAUUUCCGGGAAGAUAUCACUAUGCACUUAAGAAAUAAGGAAUUAUACUUCACCUACUUGAAGGUGGUGUAUCUACUGCUGCUGCUGCUAAGUCACUUCAGCCAUGUCCGACUCUGUGCGACCCCAUAGACGGCAGCCCACCAGGCUCCACCAUCCCUGGGAUUCUCCAGGCAAGAACACUGGAGUAGGUUGCCAUUUCCUUCUCCAAUGCAUGAAAGUGAAAAGUGAAAGUGAAUUCUCUCAGUCAUGUCCGACUCUUCACGACCCCACGGACUGCAGCCUACCAGGCUCCUCCGUCCAUGGGAUUUUCCAGGGAAGAGUACUGGAGUGGGUUGCCAUUGCCUUCUGAGUGUAUCUACAUAUAUUAUUUAGAAUUUUUCUGCUUAAGAGGUUUGUCUAUUCUCCCUUACAUAUUUAUUUAUUGGAUCAUUUAUUUAUAUCAGA
rnacentral:lncRNA from 1 species